rnacentral:tRNA from 1 species
CAAGUUACAGCUCUUGGAGCAUUUUAUUUACAUUAAAAAGAAGUUGUUAAUUCAAAUUAAUUUGA